GACGAACGCUGGCGGCGUGCUUAACACAUGCAAGUCGAACGGAAAGGCCCUGCUUUUGUGGGGUGCUCGAGUGGCGAACGGGUGAGUAACACGUGAGUAACCUGCCCUUGACUUUGGGAUAACUUCAGGAAACUGGGGCUAAUACCGGAUAGGAGCUCCUGCUGCAUGGUGGGGGUUGGAAAAUUUCGGCGGUUGGGGAUGGACUCGCGGCUUAUCAGCUUGUUGGUGGGGUAGUGGCUUACCAAGGCUUUGACGGGUAGCCGGCCUGAGAGGGUGACCGGCAACAUGGGGACUGAGAGACGGACAAGACUCCUACGGGAGGCAGCAGGGGGGAAUAGUGCACAAUGGGCGGAAGCCUGAGGCAGCAACGCCGCGUGGGGGAUGAAGGCCUUCGGGUUGUAAACCGCUGUCGACUGGGACGAAGCGUGAGUGACGGUGAUGGGUAAAGAAGCACCGGCUAACUACGGG
rnacentral:rRNA from 1 species